UUUCUAUUAUUAUUAUUAUUAUUUAAAUAAUAAAUAAUAAUAAAAUUUAUUUAUUAUUAUUUUAUCUUAUUCUUCCAUUUCAUCCCUCGUCCAUUGUUCAAUUCAACACAAGUUCAUUCGAAUAACAAAAAGGAUAGAGUUUAAAGGAUUAAAAGGACCAUUUGAAAAGCAGUUAUAUCCCCAUCGUAUCUUAGAAAGCAGUUCGUUCGUUGGAAUGAACACACACCCACGUGCAAGCAAUUCAGUCAAUGACGAGUAAAACGAGCAAGAAAGAAAGGAAGGAAGGAAGGAAGGAAGGAAGAUGGUAUUGACCCAGAUUUGAUGCACCAUUGCAAUACACGUUCUUGUUAUUUCUUAAUUAUCAUCUAACACCACUCUCUCUUUCUUUUUCUCAUAUCGAGUAAAACGACAAAUUUACAAAAAAAAAAGAAAUAACGUGUUCAAAUCAAAAUACAUUUUCAUAACACACUAUACCUGUCUGUCUAUUAGUUUCAAAAAAAAAACUAAACAAACAUUACAAAGCAAAAAGAAGUGAAUUAUAAAAUAAAA